ACUUACUGCAGAAGAUCAAGGGAAGACAGUUGAACUGUGAAUGCUAUGAUAUUUUCAAAAUCCAUCCGCUUUUUAUAUUCGACUUCAUCCCCCAUGCUUUACGAAUUAUAAAACAUUAUUAAAAGUAUGAAACAUAAUUAUCAGUUUACGAAUCCAAUUAAAAAGAAGAUUAUAAUUACUCCUCCUUUGUUAUUUUAUUAUACAGAAAUUCUCUUUAAUGUAUAAAUACUUUCAAAGUUCUUUUAAAAUCAAGCAGGUGGAAGUAAUAACUUGCGGCACUCUUGCAAUAAAUAUUAGCAGCAGGAAUGUAAUGAAUGUAUUUUUAACAAUAUCAACAAAUUAACAAUAUUCACACCUUUUCAUAAAUAUUAAUUAAGAAAUGUAGGUGUUAAUUAUAGACUUCCAUAAGCAUAUUGUAUAUUUUUACUUUGAUUUCCUUAAAUAAAAUUUAUAUUAUUCCUAAACAACUUAGUUCCAGACGAUUAAUCUUUAAAAGAUUAAUUAGACGCAUGUGUGUUUAAGAGAAGAAGGUAAUAUUAUUUCAGAACAAUGCAGUGUUUGUUUUUCAACAAAGUGCUGCUUCUGUAUAAAAAUUCUCUGGAUUUUGAAAAUUUCAUCACAUUCACUCAACAGUUUUGACUCUCUUACUUGUCUAACUAAGUAAGAAAAAAUGUUCAGUUACAAACUGUUGUUCGUGCUUUUGGCAUCUGUCUUGAUGUUCUUGGCUCCUGCUACUGAAGCUCAAUGCAAAGCAAACAAAUACCCGUGCCAGCCUGAUGGAAAAACAAAUUGUUGUACAGGCUUUUGUUACAAAGAACCCACGUGGAUUCAAGGAUAUUGCGAUGAUCGUAAAUAAUAAUUUUUAAACAAGCCACCAUUUAAUUUUCGUCUCAUUGUUUAAUUUAAGCAAGGAUGUAAAUUUAGUAUACUGUGUAAAUUGAUAAUUAUAAUAAAUAUAUUUUUAAGUAA